rnacentral:misc_RNA from 1 species
GAGGGGGCCUUUCACACCAGCAAAGAGUGAAUGCGCUCGCAGCUUGUUCAGCUCUUAUGCUGACUACCCCAAUUACAUGUCUUACACGGAGUCAUCAAGAGCAAAGGUGCGGUCUCAGAGUGCACCGAGGCAAAGGGCUGACUUUGACAAAUCCGGGUGUCCGAAGAGGAUGUCAGCUCCAGGUGCAGCGCCACCACAGAAAAUGUCAUCGUCGAUGCAGACGAAGUUUGCUAACAAGGCAUACCCAGGCUCCGGCCGGUUGGAC